AUACGGAGGGUGCAAACGUUGUUCGGAAUCACUGGGCGUAAAGGGCGCGCAGGCGGUUUGAUUAGUCAGAUGUGAAAGCCCACGGCUUAACCGUGGAAGUGCAUUUGAAACUGUCAGACUUGAGUACCAGAGGGGGUAGUGGAAUUCCCGGUGUAGAGGUGAAAUUCGUAGAUAUCGGGAGGAAUACCGGUGGCGAAGGCGACUACCUGGCUGGAUACUGACGCUGAGGCGCGAAAGCGUGGGGAGCAAACAGGAUUAGAUACCCCGGUAGUCC
rnacentral:rRNA from 1 species